UCGCGGCUUAUCACCGGCAGUCUCCUUAGAGUGCUCAACUAAAUGGUAGCAACUAAGGACGGGGGUUGCGCUCGUUGCGGGACUUAACCCAACAUCUCACGACACGAGCUGACGACAGCCAUGCAGCACCUGUCUCCGGUCCAGCCGAACUGAAGGACUCCGUCUCUGGAGUCCGCGACCGGGAUGUCAAGGGCUGGUAAGGUGGGGAUGACGUUGAACGGUUGGUU
rnacentral:misc_RNA from 1 species